rnacentral:lncRNA from 1 species
UAUACAUUAAUAUCUUUUACCUACACAUUUAAAAUAGUAGGUGUUACCUAUAGUGAUAGUUAAAUUUGACUGUAGGUAAAAAUAUAUCCGUAGGUAAAGCCUAUAGUGACAGACUAUUAGUUGUCACUGUAUACCCCCUCAAAGUUGACGCAAAAAACGUCUGUAGGACAAAGUCCUUUAUACAUCUACCUACGGAUUUUGGACUUCUAGUGACAGAUUUUGACUGUAGGUAUAAGUCAUUUUCCUUGUAGUGA